GUAGAGAGAAGCUUGCUUCUCUUGAGAGCGGCGGACGGGUGAGUAAUGCCUAGGAAUCUGCCUGGUAGUGGGGGAUAACGUUCGGAAACGGACGCUAAUACCGCAUACGUCCUACGGGAGAAAGCAGGGGACCUUCGGGCCUUGCGCUAUCAGAUGAGCCUAGGUCGGAUUAGCUAGUUGGUGAGGUAAUGGCUCACCAAGGCGACGAUCCGUAACUGGUCUGAGAGGAUGAUCAGUCACACUGGAACUGAGACACGGUCCAGACUCCUACGGGAGGCAGCAGUGGGGAAUAUUGGACAAUGGGCGAAAGCCUGAUCCAGCCAUGCCGCGUGUGUGAAGAAGGUCUUCGGAUUGUAAAGCACUUUAAGUUGGGAGGAAGGGCCAUUACCUAAUACGUGAUGGUUUUGACGUUACCGACAGAAUAAGCACCGGCUAACUCUGUGCCAGCAGCCGCGGUAAUACAGAGGGUGCAAGCGUUAAU
rnacentral:rRNA from 2 species